rnacentral:rRNA from 1 species
AUUGAACGCUGGCGGCAGGCCUAACACAUGCAAGUCGAACGGUAACAGGAAGAAGCUUGCUUCUUUGCUGACGAGUGGCGGACGGGUGAGUAAUGUCUGGGAAACUGCCUGAUGGAGGGGGAUAACUACUGGAAACGGUAGCUAAUACCGCAUAACGUCGCAAGACCAAAGAGGGGGACCUUCGGGCCUCUUGCCAUCGGAUGUGCCCAGAUGGGAUUAGCUAGUAGGUGGGGUAACGGCUCACCUAGGCGACGAUCCCUAGCUGGUCUGAGAGGAUGACCAGCCACACUGGAACUGAGACACGGUCCAGACUCCUACGGGAGGCAGCAGUGGGGAAUAUUGCACAAUGGGCGCAAGCCUGAUGCAGCCAUGCCGCGUGUAUGAAGAAGGCCUUCGGGUUGUAAAGUACUUUCAGCGGGGAGGAAGGGAGUAAAGUUAAUACCUUUGCUCAUUGACGUUACCCGCAGAAGAAGCACCGGCUAACUCCGUGCCAGCCGCCGCAGUAA